rnacentral:rRNA from 1 species
CCAGACUCCUACGGGAGGCAGCAGUGGGGAAUAUUGCACAAUGGGGGAAACCCUGAUGCAGCGACGCCGCGUGGGCGACGAGGCGCUCCGGCGCGUAAAGCCCUGUCAGCAGGGAAGAACAAAGACAGUACCUGACCAAGAAGCCCCGGCUAACUACGUGCCAGCAGCCGCGGUAAUACGGAGGGUGCAAGCGUUGUCCGGAAUCAUUGGGCGUAAAGAGUUCGUAGGCGGUAUGUUAAGUCUGGUGUUAAAUGCAGAAGCUCAACUUCUGUUCGGCACUGGAUACUGGCAAACUAGAAUGCGGGAGAGGUAAAGGGAAUUCCUGGUGUAGCGGUGAAAUGCUUAGAUAUCAGGAGGAACAUCGGUGGCGUAAGCGCUUUACUGGGCCGUAAUUGACGCUGAGGAACGAAAGCCAGGGUAGCAAAUGGGAUUAGAUACCCGUGUA